rnacentral:rRNA from 1 species
UGGGGAAUAUUGCACAAUGGGCGCAAGCCUGAUGCAGCCAUGCCGCGUGUGUGAAGAAGGCCUUCGGGUUGUAAAGCACUUUCAGCGGGGAGGAAGGCGUUAAGGUUAAUAACCUUGGCGAUUGACGUUACCCGCAGAAGAAGCACCGGCUAACUCCGUGCCAGCAGCCGCGGUAAUACGGAGGGUGCAAGCGUUAAUCGGAAUUACUGGGCGUAAAGCGCACGCAGGCGGUCUGUCUAGUCGGAUGUGAAAUCCCCGGGCUCAACCUGGGAACUGCAUUCGAAACUGGCAGGCUAGAGUCUUGUAGAGGGGGGUAGAAUUCCAGGUGUAGCGGUGAAAUGCGUAGAGAUCUGGAGGAAUACCGGUGGCGAAGGCGGCCCCCUGGACAAAGACUGACGCUCAGGUGCGAAAGCGUGGGGAGCAAACAGG